rnacentral:sRNA from 1 species
CCUACCAUCUUUUCCUCGUUUAGGAUUGCCACGGAAGCAGCUUUGGAUGUAGAACUGUCAGAUAUUUGCAUAGCCACUUCGGCUGCUCCAACCUUUUUACCGGCUCAUUAUUUUACGAAGCAAGAUGAACAAGGAAAUGUCAUUAGAGAAUUCAACCUCAUUGAUGGUGGUGUGGCUGCAAAUAAUCCGACUUUGGUUGCAAUCAGAGAAUUGACGAAGCA